rnacentral:rRNA from 1 species
CCCAGACAGCCAGGAUGUUGGCUUAGAAGCAGCCAUCAUUUAAAGAAAGCGUAAUAGCUCACUGGUCGAGUCGGCCUGCGCGGAAGAUGUAACGGGGCUAAACCAUGCACCGAAGCUGCGGCAGCGAACGUAUCACUUAAAGCGAUUCAGCGGAUGACGAUUGACGGAGCGAAGCGACGUCAAAGCGUAUACAAAGUCGAGUCGGUUUAAGGAUACGUUCGUUGGGUAGGGGAGCGUUCUGUAAGCCUGCGAAGGUGUCCCGUGAGGGAUGCUGGAGGUAUCAGAAGUGCGAAUGCUGACAUAAGUAACGAUAAAGCGGGUGAAAAGCCCGCUCGCCGGAAGACCAAGGGUUCCUGUCCAACGUUAAUCGGGGCAGGGUGAGUCGACCCCUAAGGCGAGGCCGAAAGGCGUAGUCGAUGGGAAACGGGUUAAUAUUCCCGUACUUGGUGUUACUGCGAAGGGGGGACGGAGAAGGCUAUGUUGGCCGGGCGACGGUUGUCCCGGUUUAAGCGUGUAGGCUGGUUUUCCAGGCAAAUCCGGAAAAUCAAGGCUGAGGCGUGAUGACGAGGCACUACGGUGCUGAAGCAACAAAUGCCCUGCUUCCAGGAAAAGCCUCUAAGCAUCAGGUAACAUCAAAUCGUACCCCAAACCGACACAGGUGGUCAGGUAGAGAAUACCAAGGCGCUUGA